rnacentral:rRNA from 1 species
GACGAACGCUGGCGGCGUGCCUAAUACAUGCAAGUAGAACGCUGAAGAGAGGAGCUUGCUCUUCUUGGAUGAGUUGCGAACGGGUGAGUAACGCGUAGGUAACCUGCCUGGUAGCGGGGGAUAACUAUUGGAAACGAUAGCUAAUACCGCAUAAAAUGGAUUAUCGCAUGAUAAUCCAUUGAAAGGUGCAAAUGCAUCACUACCAGAUGGACCUGCGUUGUAUUAGCUAGUUGGUGGGGUAACGGCUCACCAAGGCGACGAUACAUAGCCGACCUGAGAGGGUGAUCGGCCACACUGGGACUGGGACACGGCCCAGACUCCUACGGGAGGCAGCAGUAGGGAAUCUUCGGCAAUUGACGGAAGUCUGACCGAGCAACGCCGCGUGAGUGAAGAAGGUUUUCGGAUCGUAAAGCUCUGUUGUAAGAGAAGAACGAGUGUGAGAGUGGAAAGUUCACACUGUGACGGUAUCUUACCAGAAAGGGACGGCUAACUACGUG